UACAGAGGAGCCAAGCGUUGUCCGGAUUGACUGGGCGUAAAGCGCACGCAGGCGGCACCGUGCGUGGGGUGUGAAAUCUGGCCGCUUAACGGCCAGGCGCCAUCCCAUACGGCGGAGCUGGAGUGAUGCAGAGGUCGAUGGAAUUGCCGGUGUAGUGGUGAAAUGCGUAGAUAUCUGGAGGAACACCGGUGGCGAAGGCGGCAUCCUGGACCGGUAUUGACGCUGAUGAGCGAAAGCUAGGGGAGCAAACGGG
rnacentral:rRNA from 1 species